rnacentral:rRNA from 1 species
UGGAGGGCAAGUCUGGUGCCAGCAGCCGCGGUAAUUCCAGCUCCAAUAGCGUAUAUUAAAGUUGUUGCAGUUAAAAAGCUCGUAGUUGAACCUUGGGCCUGGCUGGCCGGUCCGCCUCACCGCGUGUACUGGUCCGGCCGGGCCUUUCCUUCUGGGGAACCUCAUGCCCUUCACUGGGCGUGUUGGGGAACCAGGACUUUUACUUUGAAAAAAUUAGAGUGUUCAAAGCAGGCCUUUGCUCGAAUACAUUAGCAUGGAAUAAUAGAAUAGGACGUGUGGUCCUAUUUUGUUGGUUUCUAGGACCGCCGUAAUGAUUAAUAGGGAUAGUCGGGGGCAUCAGUAUUCAAUCGUCAGAGGUGAAAUUCUUGGAUUGAUUGAAGACUAACUACUGCGAAAGCAUUUGCCAAGGAUGUUUUCAUUAAUCAGUGAACGAAAGUUAGGGGAUCGAAGACGAUCAGAUACCGUCGUAGUCUUAACCAUAAACUAUGCCGACUAGGGAUCGGACGGUGUUAGUAUUUUGACCCGUUCGGCGCCUUACGGGAAAC